rnacentral:rRNA from 1 species
AGUGAACGCUGGCGGUAGGCCUAACACAUGCAAGUCGAACGGCAGCACAGUAAGAGCUUGCUCUUACGGGUGGCGAGUGGCGGACGGGUGAGGAAUACAUCGGAAUCUACUUUUUCGUGGGGGAUAACGUAGGGAAACUUACGCUAAUACCGCAUACGACCUACGGGUGAAAGCAGGGGAUCUUCGGACCUUGCGCGAUUGAAUGAGCCGAUGUCGGAUUAGCUAGUUGGCGGGGUAAAGGCCCACCAAGGCGACGAUCCGUAGCUGGUCUGAGAGGGUGAUCAGCCACACUGGAACUGGGACUCGGUCCAGACUCCUACGGGAGGCAGCGGUGGGGAAUAUUGGACAAUGGGCGCAAGCCUGAUCCAGCCAUACCGCGUGGGUGAAGAAGGCCUUCGGGUUGUAAAGCCCUUUUGUUGGGAAAGAAAAGCAGCAGGUUAAUACCCCGCUGUUCUGACGGUACCCAAAGAAUAAGCACCGGCUAACUUCGUG